UGCAGCGCUGAAGGUUGGUACUUGUACCGACUGGAUGAGCAGCGAACGGGUGAGUAACGCGUGGGGAAUCUGCCUUUGAGCGGGGGACAACAUUUGGAAACGAAUGCUAAUACCGCAUAAAAACUUUAAACACAAGUUUUAAGUUUGAAAGAUGCAAUUGCAUCACUCAAAGAUGAUCCCGCGUUGUAUUAGCUAGUUGGUGAGGUAAAGGCUCACCAAGGCGAUGAUACAUAGCCGACCUGAGAGGGUGAUCGGCCACAUUGGGACUGAGACACGGCCCAAACUCCUACGGGAGGCAGCAGUAGGGAAUCUUCGGCAAUGGACGAAAGUCUGACCGAGCAACGCCGCGUGAGUGAAGAAGGUUUUCGGAUCGUAAAACUCUGUUGGUAGAGAAGAACGUUGGUGAGAGUGGAAAGCUCAUCAAGUGACGGUAACUACCCAGAAAGGGACGGCUAACUACGUGCCAGCAGCCGCGGUAAUACGUAGGUCCCGAGCGUUGUCCGGAUUUAUUGGGCGUAAAGCGAGCGCAGGUGGUUUAUUAAGUCUGGUGUAAAAGGCAGUGGCUCAACCAUUGUAUGCAUUGGAAACUGGUAGACUUGAGUGCAGGAGAGGAGAGUGGAAUUCCAUGUGUAGCGGUGAAAUGCGUAGAUAUAUGGAGGAACACCGGUGGCGAAAGCGGCUCUCUGGCCUGUAACUGACACUGAGGCUCGAAAGCGUGGGGAGCAAACAGGAUUAGAUACCCUGGUAGUCCACGCCGUAAACGAUGAGUGCUAGAUGUAGGGAGCUAUAAGUUCUCUGUAUCGCAGCUAACGCAAUAAGCACUCCGCCUGGGGAGUACGACCGCAAGGUUGAAACUCAAAGGAAUUGACGGGGGCCCGCACAAGCGGUGGAGCAUGGUGGUUUAAUUCGAAGCAACGCGAGAACCUUACCCGGUCUUGACAUACUCGUGCCAUUCCUAGAAGAAUAGGAAGUUCUUUCUGGACACGGGAAAACAGUGGGUGGCAUGGGUUGUCGUCAGCU
rnacentral:rRNA from 1 species